AACUAAGAUUCUCAGCAUAAAAUUAAAGAUACAAAAAAUAAUUUAAAGCUUGCUACAGCAACGGAGUCUAACCUAUUCUGGCGCUCUCCUCCAUGAGACAAGCCGUUACACAGACUUAGACAGU